GGGGGAAGGGUUUCUAACCGGAGAUUCCUCCUUUUGGGGUGUUCAGUGAGUCCUGAUCCUUGGGAUGGCUCAAUUUCUAAUCUUGCUGUGGUGGAGUUACGUGACCAAACAAGGCUGUGGUCUGCUGUGUUUGUAGUGCACUGAAUAGCUUCUCGUUCAUCCUUGGCCUCUGUCUGUAUCUCCCCAACUCCACUAUUUCUCUUGUGUCCACACAACUAUCUCCAGCAACAUUGAUAAUUUUCUUCUGAUCUCAAAAGUGUGGAUGAGAGAGGUAAUUGUCAGCUUGCUGCCCAAGCAAAUCAUCACAGAGGGUCCAGAGCCUGUGUUUAAGCAGUCUCUCUGGGCUCCCUCCCACCAGCAAGGUAUUCUGGGUAAUUUACCUGCACAGCCAGCCUCUGAAUUGCUCUUUGGAACGCAAUUGCUGUUAUUUUUGAAAGCACUACUCUCAAAAGCAAUAUUUCAUCAUUACUGUAAAACAUCAUCCCCACAAUUAUCAGACAGAGUGUCUGUAGGAAUCUUACGGGAAACAUGGUGA
rnacentral:lncRNA from 1 species